ACAUGAAGUGGAAUACAAAUGUGCCGAGAUAAGGUAUUCUUGCUCAUGAACCAUGGGAUCUUUUCUGAAUGUCGCAAUUUUGGUGGCAUAACCUGCAACAGCAUGUUUGUUGUUAUGGCUGUUUCUACUUCUAUUUAGAAGACAACCCAGCUGAGGGAUAGAGUUUCAGAGACAUGAAGAGUGUGAAGUGACGUGCCAUGUAUGUACCAAAUCUGCUUGAUGAAAGUCAAGUGCCCUACGAAAUUCAUCACCCUUAUGAUAAAGCAUCAGGAAAUUUAUCUCAUUAUGUGGAGUAAUGCUGUUGGUUGCUGUG